UGGGGAAUUUUGGACAAUGGGGGCAACCCUGAUCCAGCCAUGCCGCGUGCGGGAAGAAGGCCUUCGGGUUGUAAACCGCUUUUAGCCGGGAAGAAAAGGCCAGGCCGAACAAGCCUGGUUGGUGACGGUACCGGCGGAAUAAGCACCGGCUAACUACGUGCCAGCAGCCGCGGUAAUACGUAGGGUGCGAGCGUUAAUCGGAAUUACUGGGCGUAAAGCGUGCGCAGGCGGUUCGCUGUGUCCUGUGUGAAAGCCCCGGGCUCAACCUGGGAAUGGCAUGGGAAACUGGCGGGCUGGAGUGUGGCAGAGGGGGGUGGAAUUCCGCGUGUAGCAGUGAAAUGCGUAGAGAUGCGGAGGAACACCGAUGGCGAAGGCAGCCCCCUGGGCCAACACUGACGCUCAGGCACGAAAGCGUGGGGAGCAAACAGGAUUAGAUACCCUGGUAGUCCACGCCCUAAACGAUGUCGACUAGGUGUUGGGGAAGCGAUUCCUUGGUACCGUAGCUAACGCGUGAAGUCGACCGCCUGGGGAGUACGGCCGCAAGGUUAA
rnacentral:rRNA from 1 species